rnacentral:rRNA from 1 species
GAGUUUGAUCGUGGCUCAGGACGAACGCUGGCGGCGUGCUUAACACAUGCAAGUGGAGCGACGAACCAGGGCUUGCCCUGGGGCAGAGCCGCGAACGGGGUGAGUAACACGUGGGUAACCUACCCCGAUGACCGGGACAACCCGAGGAAACUCGGGCUAAUACCGGAUGAACUCUUCUCACAUGAGUGAGAUUUGAAAAGGAAGCUUCGGCCUCCGCAUUGGGAUGGGCCCGCGGCCCAUUAGCUUGUUGGUGGGGUAACGGCCUACCAAGGCUUCGAUGGGUAGCUGGUCUGAGAGGACGAUCAGCCACACUGGGACUGAGACACGGCCCAGACUCCUACGGGAGGCAGCAGUGGGGAAUCUUGCGCAAUGCGCGAAAGCGUGACGCAGCAACGCCGCGUGCGGGAAGACGGCCUCGGUUGUAA